GAUCCUGCUCAGGAUGAACGCUGGCGGCGUGCUUAACACAUGCAAGUCGAGCGAAGCACUCUGCUUUGAAUCUUUCGGGAUGAGGAGUAUUGUGACUGAGCGGCGGACGGGUGAGUAACGCGUGGGUAACCUGCCUCAUACAGGGGGAUAACAGUUAGAAAUGGCUGCUAAUACCGCAUAAGACCACAGCACCGCAUGGUGCAGGGGUAAAAACUCCGGU
rnacentral:rRNA from 1 species